AGGGUGCAUAUAUUAAAUAUUGCCUUAUUAAGAAAUUAAAAUAUCUUUGUAAAGCGCACGAUUUUCUGCUCUUGGGAAUUUAAAACAGCUUCUUAAACGGUUUCUUUAUGCAUAAAAUUUACUUACGUCAAGCUUUGAUGCACGUGUGGGUUCAACAGAGUGCUGAGGCAUUCAAAUUCUGACAAUACGUUAUUUCAAUAGUUUUCGGUUUUUUUGGGACGCCCUGUACAGCGUUUGCACAUGACGUUACAGCCCCCAUGUUGGUGUUCCAAUUCAAAAGAAUUUAAAUUAGACUCUUUUGUCUGGAACACCAACAUGGCAGCCAUGGCUUUUGUUCAGUUGGUCCCUGGGGAAUGAGUACAAACGCUCUACAGGGUGUAUCAAAAAUAUGUACACCCUUUCAGAUUCAAAUUAGCCAUAACAUUUU